GGACCAAGGAGUCUAGCAUGUGCGCGAGUCAUUGGGACAUUUAUCUAAUCCUAAAGGCAUAAUGAAAGUAAAUAUUUAUGAAUUUUUAAUUCAUUUUAAAUAAAGGGAAGAUGGGUAACGUAUUUAAAAAGUUACCUCGCAUUCCCGGGGCGUCGCGUACUCAUUGCGAGUUGCGGCGCACCAAGAGCGUACACGCUGGGACCC
rnacentral:rRNA from 1 species